ensembl:lncRNA
AAUUUUAUUGAUUUGGGCCCUCUCACUUUUUUUCCUGAUUAGUCUGGCUAAAGGUUUAUCAAUUUUGUUUAUCUUUUCAAAGAACCAGCCUUUACUUUCAUUGAUUGUUUUCUGUUGUUUUCUUACUGUCUAUUUCAUUUAUUUUUGCUGUGAUCUUAUGAUUUCUUUCCUUCGACUAACUUUCGGUUUUGUUUGUUCUUCUUUGUCUAGUUGCUUUAGGUGUAGGGUUAGGUUGUUUGAGAUUUUGCUUUUUUCCUGAGGUAACCUUGUAUUGCUAUAAACUUCCCUCUUAGAACUGCUUUUGCUCAAAAGUUUUGAUCGAAGAGGACAAAAGAAGAAAGGAAGAAAAAAGAACUACAAAAACAAAUCUAGGAAAUUCCCUGGCAGUCACGUGGUUAGGACUUGACACUUUGACUGCCAUGGGCUGUGAUUUGAUUUCCUGGUCAGGGAACUAAGAUCCCAAAAGCCGAGUGGAGUGGCACAGCCAAAGCAAAAACAAACAAACAAAAAAACAAAUCCAAACAAUUAGCAAAAAAGGAUAAGUAAUUUCUUAGUGUCUUUUGUCUGUUUUUCUAAGGAAGCAUUAGGGAUGUUUCUUAUUUAAGUGAAGCCAAAUAAAGAGAUAAUUUUUAGGACAAUUAAUUAUCAAAACUUUUUGUUGCACAUGAGGGAACACCGGUUCAAAUGACCUUCAGCCAAAGAGGGUUAAAAGAAAGAAGGAGGAAUCACUGGAACAUUUGGCACACAGACCAGGUUCUAUCUGGAACACACAACUGCCCAGAUGAAGUCACCAGGUAUUCACUAUCUUUAGUACCGGUUCUCCCCAGAAGGGUUCCUGUGAAAUCAACUACUCACAGAAAAUUAUGAACAGAAUUGGAAAGCAGUGCCAUGCCCAAGAAGAUAAUAAAUCCAGUUUCUCUGCGGCUUCUAAAUACAGGAUGGUGAACCGCAGGAGAUAAAACUAGGGCAUGUCCUGGAAAUAAACUUGUGCUGGCCUGGCUGGCCCGAGGAGCAUGUGAUGACUCCCUGAACAGUGGAAAGACAUUGAUGAUUCCUGAGUGUGGAAGGAGGAAGGCAUCACAGUUAUAUUUCAGGAAGGUAAGUCCGAAAUCACCGAGUGGGAACGAAACAAGACUUAAGGAACCAGUUGUAGAGAUGAUUAUAAUUCCGUGAGAGGAUUUGAGGGUCUGAAUUAAAGUAAUGGUGGAGAACAGAUAUCGCUGAAUGUCCUUUUAAAGGCUUCUUAGGAGCAUCCAAGAGCUGUACUGACCCUAUGGAUCCAUCCACAGAGGGAUGGAUAAAGAAGAUGUGGUACAUAUACGCACAAUGGAAUACUACCCAGCCAUGAAAAAGAAUGAAAUAACGCCAUUUGCAGGAACACGGAUUGACCUUGAGAUUAUCAUACUAAGUGAAGUAAGCCAGACAGAGAAGGACAAGUAUCUCAUGAUAUCACUUACAUGUGGAAUCUAAGAAAAAUUAUACAAAUGAACUUAUUCACAAAACAGAAACAGACUCAGACAUAGAAAACAAACAUGGUUACGAAAGGGGAAGAGGUGGGGAGGGGUAAAUUAACAGUUUCGGAUUAACAAAUACACACUAUUAUAUAUAAAAUAGUCAACAAGGACCUACUGUAUAGCACAGGGAACUCCACCCAAU